rnacentral:rRNA from 1 species
UACGAAGGUCCCAAGCGUUAUCCGGAUUUAUUGGGUUUAAAGGGUGCGUAGGCGGGCUAUUAAGUCAGUGGUGAAAGCCCCAAGCUUAACUUGGGAACUGCCAUUGAUACUGAUGGUCUUGAGUACAUUUGAGGUGGGCGGAAUGUGUCAUGUAGCGGUGAAAUGCUUAGAUAUGACACAGAACACCGAUUGCGAAGGCAGCUCACUAGACUGUAACUGACGCUGAGGCACGAAAGCGUGGGGAGCAAACAGG